rfam:Phormidium tenue NIES-30 NIES-30_Scaffold_4, whole genome shotgun sequence.
GGAGGUAGCGCAGGUGGUUGCGGAUUGGCGAUCGCCAGUCUGAGGAAAGUCCGGGCUCCCGAAAGACCAGACUUGCUGGGUAACGCCCAGUGCGGGCAACCGUGAGGAGAGUGCCACAGAAACAUACCGCCGAUGGCUUCGGGAUUUUUUUCAGGAGCACAGGUAAGGGUGCAAGGGUGCGGUAAGAGCGCACCAGCAGCAUCGAGAGGUGCUGGCUCGGUAAACCCCGGUCGGGUGCAAGGUCGAGGGGCAAGGUUGGUCUUUUUCCAGCCCCGCUGUUACGUACCGCAAGAGGCGUUUGGCAACAGGCGUCCCAGAUAGAUAACCGCCCCCCUGGCAACAGGGGAACAGAACCCGGCUUAUGUCUACCUCCCUCC